rnacentral:rRNA from 1 species
AUGGUGUCGACGGCGCUGGACGCGAUGGCGGGGACGGCGUGGGGGCGGUGGCUGGGGCUGGUGGCGGCGGUGUGGGUGCAGUGCAUCUCGGGCAACAACUACACCUUCUCCAACUACUCCGACUCCAUCAAGACGCUCAUGGGCCUCACGCAGCUGCAGCUCAACGGCCUCUCCGUCGCCAAGGACGUCGGCAAGGCCUUCGGCCUGCUCGCGGGGCUCGCCUCCGACCGCCUCCCCACCUGGCUCCUCCUCGCCAUCGGCUCCCUCGAGGGCUUCCUCGGCUACGGCGCGCAGUGGCUCGUCGUCUCCAAAACAAUCUCGCCGCUGCCCUACUGGCAGAUGUGCGUCUGCCUCUGCCUCGGCGGCAACUCCACCACCUGGAUGAACACCGCCGUGCUCGUCACCUGCAUCCGCAACUUCCGGGGCAGCAGGGGCCCCGUCUCGGGGGUCCUCAAGGGCUACGUCGGGCUCAGCACCGCGAUAUUCACCGACGUCUGCUCCGCGCUCUUCGCCGACGACCCGGCCUCCUUCCUCGUCAUGCUCGCCGUCGUGCCCGCCGCCGUCUGCGCCGUCGCCAUGGUGUUCCUCCGCGAGGGCCGCGUGGCCAGCGCCGACUCGGGCGGGGACGAGGCCGACGCGCGCGGCUUCGCGGCCAUCAGCACGCUCGCCGUCGCCAUCGCGCUCUACCUCCUGGCGGCCGACCUCACGGGCGUGGGCGGCGGCGGGGGGCUCGUCUCCACCGUCUUCGUGGCCGUGCUUAUGGUGCUCCUCGCCGCGCCCGCCGCCGUGCCCGCGUACGUGGGCUGGACGUCCUGGAUGAAGUCCCGCAAGGCGGCCAACGCCGACGCCGAGGACGCGGCCGCCCCCCUGCUGCUCGACUCCAAGGAGGCGACGCAGCCGCAGGGCAACGGGGAGGCGGAGGAGGCUCGCGGGCCGCGGCUGGGGGAGGAGCACACGAUCGCGGAGGCGCUGUGGUCGGUGGACUUCUGGGUGCUCUUCUCGUCGUUCCUGAUGGGCGUGGGCACGGGGCUGGCGGUGAUGAACAACCUGGGGCAGAUGGGCGUGGCCAUGGGCUACACCGACGUGUCCAUCUUCGUCUCCAUGACCAGCAUAUGGGGCUUCUUCGGCCGCCUCGCCUCCGGCACCAUCUCCGAGCACUUCAUCAAGACGAGGGCGCUGCCGCGGCCGGUGUGGAACGCGGCGUCGCAGGUGCUCAUGUGCGCGGGGUACGUGGUGAUGGCCUUCGGCAUGCCGGGGUCCCUCUUCGUGGGGUCGGUGGUGGUGGGCGUCUGCUACGGUGUGCGGCUGGCGGUCACCGUGCCCACGGCGUCGGAGCUGUUCGGCCUCAAGUACUACGGCCUCAUCUACAACAUCCUCAUCCUCAACCUGCCGCUGGGAUCCUUCCUCUUCUCGGGCCUCCUGGCGGGGCUCCUCUACGACGCGGAGGCCACCAAGGUGCCCGGCGGCGGCAACACCUGCUCCGGCGCGCACUGCUACCGCCUCGUCUUCGUCGUCAUGGCCGCCGCCUGCGUCGUCGGCUUCGGCCUCGACGUGCUCCUCAGCCUCAGGACCAGGCGGGUCUACGCCAAGAUCCACCAGGCCAAGCGGGCCAAGAGGUCGGCCGCCGCCGCGCAGAGGGUGAGCUAA